rnacentral:misc_RNA from 1 species
CACCAGCAAAAUACAUACUACUAAGACCAUACAUCACAAUAAAUAUUGUAGCAUCUGAUAGCCGCUUAAAGCAGAAAUAAAGACCAGCUGGGAAAAGGAAAAGCAGGAUAUGAAAAUCAAACAUGAAAGAUGACCAAGCUGUUGGCUGAUGCUCAGAAACGGAUGCAAUGAUGGGGAUGUGAUCCUUAGCAUAUGUAGGAUCCAGAAGAGAGUAAAACCGGCCUGUCCACGGAGAAAUGUACCCAGAUGCUGUGCCAACUCCUAAAGCAAUAGC